rnacentral:rRNA from 1 species
CUACGGGGUGCAGCAGUGAGGAAUUUUGCGCAAUGGGGGCAACCCUGACGCAGCAACGCCGCGUGAGUGAAGAAGGCCUUUGGGUCGUAAAGCUCUGUCAACAGGGAAGAAGUUACUUCAUAUUAAUAGUAUGUAGUAUUGACGGUACCUGUGGAGGAAGCAUCGGCUAACUCCGUGCCAGCAGCCGCGGUAAUACGGGGGAUGCAAGCGUUAUUCGGAAUCAUUGGGCGUAAAGGGCACGCAGGCGGCUCUGCCAGUCAGAUGUGAAAGCCCGGGGCUCAACCCCGGACGUGCAUUUGGAACAGCAGAGCUUGAGUACGGUAGAGGAAAGCGGAAUUCCUGGUGUAGAGGUGAAAUUCGUAGAUAUCAGGAGGAACACCGGUGGCGAAGGCGGCUUUCUGGACCGAAACUGACGCUGAGGUGCGAAGGCGUGGGUAGCGAACAGGAUUAGAUACCCGCGUAGUC